rnacentral:rRNA from 1 species
GACGAACGCUGGCGGCGUGCUUAACACAUGCAAGUCGAACGGAAAGGCCCUGCUUGCAGGGUACUCGAGUGGCGAACGGGUGAGUAACACGUGGGUGAUCUGCCCUGCACUUCGGGAUAAGCCUGGGAAACUGGGUCUAAUACCGGAUAGGAGCCAUUUUUAGUGUGAUGGUUGGAAAGUUUUUUCGGUGUAGGAUGAGCUCGCGGCCUAUCAGCUUGUUGGUGGGGUAAUGGCCUACCAAGGCGGCGACGGGUAGCCGGCCUGGGGGGGUGGACGGCCACAUUGGGACUGGGAUACGGCCCAGACGCCUACGGGAGGCAGCAGUGGGGAAUAUUGCACAAUGGGCGCAAGCCUGAUGCAGCGACGCCGCGUGGGGGAUGACGGCCUUCGGGUUGUAAACUCCUUUCGCUAGGGACGAAGCUUUUUGUGACGGUACCUAGAGAAGAAGCACCGGCUAACUACGUG